rnacentral:rRNA from 1 species
AUUGAACGCUGGCGGCAGGCCUAACACAUGCAAGUCGAACGGUAACAGGAAGAAGCUUGCUUCUUUGCUGACGAGUGGCGGACGGGUGAGUAAUGUCUGGGAAACUGCCUGAUGGAGGGGGAUAACUACUGGAAACGGUAGCUAAUACCGCAUAACGUCGCAAGACCAAAGAGGGGGACCUUCGGGCCUCUUGCCAUCGGAUGUGCCCAGAUGGGAUUAGCUAGUAGGUGGGGUAACGGCUCACCUAGGCGACGAUCCCUAGCUGGUCUGAGAGGAUGACCAGCCACACUAGAACUGAGACACGGUCCAGACUCCUACGGGAGGCAGCAGUGGGGAAUAUUGCACAAUGGGCGCAAGCCUGAUGCAGCCAUGCCGCGUGUAUGAAGAAGGCCUUCGGGUUGUAAAGUACUUUCAGCGGGGAGGAAGGGAGUAAAGUUAAUACCUUGGCUCAUUGACGUUACCCGCAGAAGAAGCACCGGCUAACUCCGUG